UAUCUGUCAGUUUUGGUAAACUGAAUUUCAAGGAGUUUGGCCAUUUCAUUCAAACUGUCAAACUCAUCGGCAUAAAAUAGUAUAAUAACUGUUUAAAAGUUAUAAAACAGCAUGAAACUUGGCUGGGUGCGGUGGCUCAUGCCUGUAAUCCAAGCACUUUGGGAGGCCAAGAAGGGUGGAUCACCUGAGGUCAGGAGUUUGAGACCAGCCUGGCCAACAUGGUAAAACCCCAUCUCUACUUAAAAUACAAAAAUUAGCUGGGCAUGGUGGUGCACACCUGUAAUCCCAGCUACUUAGGAGGCUGAGGCAGGAGAAUUGCUUGAACCCGGGAGGUGGAGGUUGCAGUGAGCCAAGACUGUGCCAUUGCACUCCAGCCUAGGGGACAAGAGUGAGACUUUGUCUGAAAAAAAAAAAGUAUGAAACUUGAAAUGCUUUCUUUUAUGUAUUUAUUAAUUUCUGAUUUUUGUUCUUCUUGUUGUUAUUAUCCUAGAGCACAGCCUUUGGAGAUACAGUUUCUUUUAAACAACGAAAAUGUAAGCUCUCUGAAGUCAGGGAUUUUGGUCUGUAUGGUUUGCUGAUUGAACCCCAUCCUCUAUGUGUAAAAUACUGUCUGAUAUGUAAUAGACA
rnacentral:lncRNA from 10 species